rnacentral:rRNA from 1 species
UACGAAGGGGGCUAGCGUUGCUCGGAAUCACUGGGCGUAAAGGGUGCGUAGGCGGGUCUUUAAGUCAGGGGUGAAAUCCUGGAGCUCAACUCCAGAACUGCCUUUGAUACUGAGGAUCUUGAGUUCGGGAGAGGUGAGUGGAACUGCGAGUGUAGAGGUGAAAUUCGUAGAUAUUCGCAAGAACACCAGUGGCGAAGGCGGCUCACUGGCUCGAUACUGACGCUGAGGCACGAAAGCGUGGGGAGCAAACAGG